rnacentral:misc_RNA from 1 species
CCAUUAUUUAGUGAAUCACUGGAAGAAGGUCCUAAUCAGCCGAAAUCUGCAGAAAAUAUAGAUGUUUGUGUACAGCCAAAGACACUUGUGUAUCUGAACAGGAAAGAUGUGCGAGAAGCUCUUCAUGCCCAGCUUGUCGGAGUUAGCAAUUGGAGUUUCUGCAGCCAGGUAUUGAACUAUGACUUGAAAAACCUGGAAAUACCUAUGAUUGAUGUUGUGGGCUCAUUGGUCAGUUCAGGCAUCUCAGUUCUAGUGUACAGUGGAGAUCAAGAUUCAGUUGUUCCAUUUACUGGUUCAAGGACUUUGGUUAAUGGUUUGGCAAAGAAGUUGAGUUUGAAUGCAACUGUGACUUAUCGGCCUUGGUUUCAAAAUAAACAGGUUGGUGGAUGGACACAAGUAUAUGGAGAGACCCUUACGUUUACAACUAUUAGAGGAGGAUCUCACUUGGCACCUUUGUCAUCACCCAAGCGAUCAUUAGCAGUAUUUAAAGCAUUUCUUGCUGGCAAUCCACUUGCCUAGUUAAGAACAAAGAAAAAAGCUAUACAAAUUUUUCAAUUCUGUCAUCCAUAAUUGAUCAGUGUUAGAAAAUUAAUAUCAAUGUGAACUUAACUAUAUAUAUAAAAUCCAACAUAGAUGUCCCCAUUCA